rnacentral:rRNA from 1 species
AUACACUGAUGAAAGUCAACGAGUUUAUAACCUUGGCCGGAAGCUCUGGGUAAUCUUUUGAAACUUCAUCGUGCUGGGGAUAGUCCAUUGCAAUUAUUGGACUUCAACGAGGCAAUUCCUAGUAAGCGCGAGCUAUCAGCUCGCGUUGAUUACGUCCCUGCCCUUUGUACACACCGCCCGUCGCUACUACCGAUUGAAUGGCUUAGUGAGACCUUCGGAUUGGAGGUAGGUUGCUGGCAACAGCAACCAGCUUCCGAGAAGUUGGUCAAACUUGGUCAUUUAGAGGAAGUAAAAGUCGUAACAAGGUUUCCGUAGGUGAACCUGCGGGAGGAUCAUUAAUAAAUGCUUCAUUGCAUCCACCUUUUGUGCACCGUAAAUUUUCACUUAAACUUUGUCUGAUUUAUAUCUGUUCUGAAAGGAACAUGAAUUGUAAUCUAAUACAACUUUUAACAAUGGAUCUCUUGGCUCUCGCAUCGAUGAAGAACGCAGCGAAAUGCGAUAAGUAAUGUGAAUUGCAGAAUUCAGUGAAUCAUCGAAUCUUUGAACGCAUAUUGCGCUCUCCGGCAUUCCGGAGAGCAUGCCUGUUUGAGUCUUGGUACCAAUCUGGUGUAACCUUUGUAUUAAGGAUAGAACUUUUUAUAAAAAACUGCAUUGAGACGUCUUGAUAAGUAAAAUUGUUAAGUGUCUUAAAAUACAAUAGUACAGCUAUAGCUCACCCUCUUUGGAGUAAUAUGUGACCUGAAAGGGUAACUCUAUUUCUCCUCGUUGGGAAGACUUGUUGCUGGAAGUUUUUGAUUGCUGAACGUCAAAGGCGGCAUUCAAUUGUUCGAGUAACGACGAACUUAAAAAUUCAAGCUCAAAUCAGGUAGGAUUACCCGCUGAACUAAGC